UACGAAGGGGGCUAGCGUUGCUCGGAAUUACUGGGCGUAAAGCGCACGUAGGCGGCUUUCUAAGUCGGGGGUGAAAUCCUGGAGCUCAACUCCAGAACUGCCUUCGAUACUGGAAAGCUCGAGUCCGGGAGAGGUGAGUGGAACUGCGAGUGUAGAGGUGAAAUUCGUAGAUAUUCGCAAGAACACCAGUGGCGAAGGCGGCUCACUGGCCCGGUACUGACGCUGCGGUGCGAAAGCGUGGGGAGCAAACAGG
rnacentral:rRNA from 1 species